UUUUCAUCAGACAAUCUGUGUGAGCACUGCAAAGUACGCUUCUUUAAGGUAAGGAGGUGAUCCAACCGCAGGUUCCCCUACGGUUACCUUGUUACGACUUCACCCCAGUCAUGAAUCACAAAGUGGUAAGCGCCCUCCCGAAGGUUAAGCUACCUACUUCUUUUGCAACCCACUCCCAUGGUGUGACGGGCGGUGUGUACAAGGCCCGGGAACGUAUUCACCGUGGCAUUCUGAUCCACGAUUACUAGCGAUUCCGACUUCAUGGAGUCGAGUUGCAGACUCCAAUCCGGACUACGACGCACUUUAUGAGGUCCGCUUGCUCUCGCGAGGUCGCUUCUCUUUGUAUGCGCCAUUGUAGCACGUGUGUAGCCCUGGUCGUAAGGGCCAUGAUGACUUGACGUCAUCCCCACCUUCCUCCAGUUUAUCACUGGCAGUCUCCUUUGAGUUCCCGGCCGGACCGCUGGCAACAAAGGAUAAGGGUUGCGCUCGUUGCGGGACUUAACCCAACAUUUCACAACACGAGCUGACGACAGCCAUGCAGCACCUGUCUCACGGUUCCCGAAGGCACAUUCUCAUCUCUGAAAACUUCCGUGGAUGUCAAGACCAGGUAAGGUUCUUCGCGUUGCAUCGAAUUAAACCACAUGCUCCACCGCUUGUGCGGGCCCCCGUCAAUUCAUUUGAGUUUUAACCUUGCGGCCGUACUCCCCAGGCGGUCUACUUAACGCGUUAGCUCCGGAAGCCACGCCUCAAGGGCACAACCUCCAAGUAGACAUCGUUUACGGCGUGGACUACCAGGGUAUCUAAUCCUGUUUGCUCCCCACGCUUUCGCACCUGAGCGUCAGUCUUUGUCCAGGGGGCCGCCUUCGCCACCGGUAUUCCUCCAGAUCUCUACGCAUUUCACCGCUACNNNNNNNNNNNNNNNNNNNNCCCCCCUCUACAAGACUCAAGCCUGCCAGUUUCGAAUGCAGUUCCCAGGUUGAGCCCGGGGAUUUCACAUCCGACUUGACAGACCGCCUGCGUGCGCUUUACGCCCAGUAAUUCCGAUUAACGCUUGCACCCUCCGUAUUACCGCGGCUGCUGGCACGGAGUUAGCCGGUGCUUCUUCUGCGGGUAACGUCAAUUGCUGCGGUUAUUAACCACAACACCUUCCUCCCCGCUGAAAGUACUUUACAACCCGAAGGCCUUCUUCAUACACGCGGCAUGGCUGCAUCAGGCUUGCGCCCAUUGUGCAAUAUUCCCCACUGCUGCCUCCCGUAGGAGUCUGGACCGUGUCUCAGUUCCAGUGUGGCUGGUCAUCCUCUCAGACCAGCUAGGGAUCGUCGCCUUGGUGAGCCGUUACCUCACCAACAAGCUAAUCCCAUCUGGGCACAUCUGAUGGCAAGAGGCCCGAAGGUCCCCCUCUUUGGUCUUGCGACGUUAUGCGGUAUUAGCCACCGUUUCCAGUAGUUAUCCCCCUCCAUCAGGCAGUUUCCCAGACAUUACUCACCCGUCCGCCACUCGUCAGCAAAGCAGCAAGCUGCUUCCUGUUACCGUUCGACUUGCAUGUGUUAGGCCUGCCGCCAGCGUUCAAUCUGAGCCAUGAUCAAACUCUUCAAUUUAAAAGUUUGAUGCUCAAUGAAUUAAACUUCGUAAUGAAUUACGUGUUCACUCUUGAGACUUGGUAUUCAUUUUUCGU
rnacentral:rRNA from 1 species